UAGCCGUAAACGAUACUCGCUAGGUGUCGGCCACGGUGCGACCGUUGUCGGUGCCGUAGGGAAGCCGUGAAGCGAGCCACCUGGGAAGUACGGCCGCAAGGCUGAAACUUAAAGGAAUUGGCGGGGGGAGCACAACAACGGGUGGAGCUUGCGGUUUAAUUGGAUUCAACGCCGGAAAUCUUACCGGGACCGACAGCAACAUGAAGGCCAGGCUGAAGACUUUGCCGGAUUAGCUGAGAGGAGGUGCAUGGCGUAGACGUCU
rnacentral:rRNA from 1 species